rnacentral:lncRNA from 1 species
UCAAAAACCUUGAUAGAGGAAGGAAAAUGUGUGUAGAUAGGAAGCUAUUGUAUCUAAAGAGAUCAUCUUUAAAAGCCCUACAGUAUUUGUACAGAGGACAGACACUUUUGUUUGGUAGGAGAACAAAAAGAAUUGUGAAUGCAAAUAUUUUCUAGGUUUUGUAAUGAGUUCUUUUAUCUCUGAAAAACAACAUUCAAUCAUUUGCAGAGAACUAGAAGAUUGGGGGCUUGGUCGAGAUGAGGCAGCACUGACUUGAAGUAGAAUUCAUUGCUCGCUUGAAGUUUUCCCCCCAGAAUUUAGUUAUAUGGUACAUGAAACAAUUGACUAAAUGAAUCUAGAAAAAAAAAUGAGCAAAGUUCAACUGAAGGUGAAGCAACUAAGAAAAAUAAACUAAUUGUUUUUGUUAUUUAUCUGCUCAAAAAAUAUCUAUUCCAGACGUUACUAAUACAGAAUUCAAAGGCACUGCCUGUCUCUAGUAGUUCAUGGUCUGGUGAAUGUAUGGUCUUAUGAAUACCUAAGAUAUAUUAGAAUAUAUGAUGUGCAUAAUGUUUUGAGAAAGAAGAAAAGAAAGCCAUCAGAAAAUAAGUGUCACCAGGAAGUGGGUAUUUUGUUGCUUUUUUAAAUACUUUAUUACUGCCAUGCAUUGUUAGGCGCAUGUUCCAGCACACUUCAGCAGAUGUUGCCUUUUGAAUUAAUUUUCAUUUUAUUUGGUAGAGAAAAGUGCAUCUUGAUUCAGGUUAUCCAUAGUAUGAUACUAUAGCAGAGAAUUACCAGACUUACAGACUAUAUGUUAUAUUUCAUGUCUUAUUUCCAUUUUUUUCUCCAUAGAGAUCUCUGUGACAGAAUCCUAUAUCACCACAGCGAAAGCAUACCACUCAUACACUUAAUACUUGUAUUAAAACCCUCCAUGCUAAUGAUGCUUUGUUACACUUAAUAAUUGCAUUGGAACCCUCCAUGCUAAUGAUACUUUGUUACACUUAAUAAUUGCAUUGGAACCCUCCAUGCUAAUGAUACUUUGUUGCACUAGAUAAUUACCUUAGAGCCCGCCCAUAUUAAUGAUACUUUGUUACGCUUAAUAAGUGCAUGUUAGAACCCUCCAUACUAGUGAUACUUUUUACAUGUUAGAAUGCUCUUUU